GAGCGCGCCCUUCGGGGUGAGCGGCGGACGGGUUAGUAACGCGUGGGAACGUACCCUUUGGUAGGGAAUAGCCACUGGAAACGGUGAGUAAUACCCUAUGAGCCCUUCGGGGGAAAGAUUUAUCGCCAAAGGAUCGGCCCGCGUUAGAUUAGGUAGUUGGUGGGGUAAUGGCCUACCAAGCCUACGAUCUAUAGCUGGUUUUAGAGGAUGAUCAGCAACACUGGGACUGAGACACGGCCCAGACUCCUACGGGAGGCAGCAGUGGGGAAUCUUGGACAAUGGGGGCAACCCUGAUCCAGCCAUGCCGCGUGAGUGAAGAAGGCCUUAGGGUCGUAAAGCUCUUUCGCCUGUGAAGAUAAUGACGGUAGCAGGUAAAGAAACCCCGGCUAACUCCGUGCCAGCAGCCGCGGUAAUACGGAGGGGGUUAGCGUUGUUCGGAAUUACUGGGCGUAAAGCGCGCGUAGGCGGAUUGGAAAGUUGGGGGUGAAAUCCCGGGGCUCAACCCCGGAACUGCCUCCAAAACUCCCAGUCUUGAGUUCGAGAGAGGUGAGUGGAAUUCCGAGUGUAGAGGUGAAAUUCGUAGAUAUUCGGAGGAACACCAGUGGCGAAGGCGGCUCACUGGCUCGAUACUGACGCUG
rnacentral:rRNA from 1 species